AGUGACGCUUCCUCUUUUCAAUCAACCAUUUUUUUUCUGUUCAUCGAAUUUCCAAGGAGUCAUUUGCAUUCCCAAUUUUAAUAUGUGGGAGAAGGAAUUGAAGAACAAUACAUCAGCUAAUCUCUGUGAAUUUCAUACGCUCGCGGCCGGCAAUUAAGGAAUGUGCCUCCCUGUCGGGUCCCCACCCAUGUGCUAAAAAAGGCAAGUCCAGUUUCCUUCUCUCGUUGCCACGUCUUGACAACCACAGCCGUAGUCCAGCUUCCCUCACGUGAUCCCUUCCUCCACCUACCACCAGAAAGGACAAGAAAACCCUACACCCCACCAAGCCCAGAUCCCCGUGCGUCUCCUUCCCCCCAGCCGCCACCGGACGCCAUGGCCUAGACUGUGGAGCUCUCCUCCCACAGCGAAAAAAGAGAGAGAAAAAAAACGCGAGAAAUCAAGGCAAAAACUCGUGGGAAAAUAAAUCUAAAAACACAAUUGUGUCUGCAAUUCUUCAUGCUGAACAGGCAAUAAAUCUGGAGAAUUGUGGGCAAAAAUAUUGGCAGAUCUGGGCAAGUUUCUCCCAGUGGAAACACGAAGAAGUUGAGCCUCUACUUUCUCCAAAUCGGCGACUAUUGGGUAGCAUCAAGGACUGACAUGAAGGCUCGUUGUGGGGCACAUGAAAGUGCUCACUACAACUAUCAACCAUGCCCGCAUGAAAUCAUCGUCUGCUCUCCUCACCAUCUUUCCAAUCAUGUUGUAGACGGUUGUUAUCUCGGGGGCACUUCCAUUCUCAAACCCGUACCUGCUGUUUAUGAAUGAUAUAGCUUCUGAAUCCCAGCCA